GGUUCAUCCUCCUCUGUGCCCUUCUAAACGGAGAAUCAGAGAGAAAAUCCCCGAUGGACUUCCCGUCCCUUUUGUGUCGCUCCUGGCACCAAGUAAGGGAACAAGGAUGCACCGGGGUUCCUGUCGCCGAGCGAGAAAGUAAAGGGCACUGUUGCUCGGAACCAGGUUUUCAGGGGUCUUAACUACAAGGCAGAAACCGGAGUCGGGUCCACAGGGAGGGAGGAAGGGACUCAGGUCACUCUGCUGAGGCUUUCCCACGGUCUCUCCACCGUCUCCUUAACACCGGGAAACCGAAACACCCGUGGCGAGGAGCAGUCAGACAAAAGGGCAAGGAAGGAAGCUACAAAUCCUUUUCAAAAGGCAGAGAAAAGAAAUGAACAGCAACAACAAGAAGGAAAAAAAGGAAAAAGGUACCAUAAAAUUGAUAAUAUUUUCAGCCAGAACUUUUUUGGAAAUUCUCCCACAGAAUAUAUUUGCACAGGAAAAUUGCUGAUUCAUGAAGAAAUUCUUCUACAGAAGGAAAAGCUGCAAUGAAAUCAAUGAAAUUGUUUUUAAAGGAAAUAUACAGAGAUAGAAUUUUCACAAUGUAAAAUCUAAGCCAGUUGUAAGGAACUUUCAGAAGACUGUUCUUGUGUGGUGGACAUUCCCAGUGUAAUAAACUGCACACCUGAACCUCCAGGAUCCUGGCAUUUCAUGAAGAGGAGGGAUGUGAAGCCUGUGCAAUGCUGGAUAAAAUUAUGAAUUGCAGUGGUGGUUUUUAAAAUUUCCGGAGUGUUCACCUGUUCAUAAAAAAUUGCUAUGAUGGUACAAAGUAUUAUCUCUUUGUAGGUGAUAAUUCUGUUCUGCUGAAAAAUGAAUCCAAUUAAUACAAUAAAAUUAAUUAAUUGGAGCUCUUAAUGCAAUUAAACAGAUUUCAGAGUGUCUAGCUUAAAUGCUCCAGUGACCUAUAAAAGAAGUUACAUGACUUAAAAGAAGCCUGUGUUUAUGUCAGGAAUUGAAAAGUUCCAGUGUCUACAUGAGGGGGUGAGUAAAAGGAUGCCCCAGUUUCUGCAGCGCUGCACUCUAAGAUGCAUCACAUGUGCUUGAAGUUACUCAUUCUCUGGGAUCAUGAAAAGAAGAUAAAUUCAGACAGUUUAUCACAAUUAGAGAUGUGCCUCCUUUUUAGUUACUUUUUCUCUGCAAAUGACUUCUUUCACUGCAGGACACGAAGAUGCAAUUUAUGUACAUUAAUGGAUUAGCUCUUAAGA